rnacentral:rRNA from 1 species
UGGGGAAUAUUGCACAAUGGGCGCAAGCCUGAUGCAGCCAUGCCGCGUGUAUGAAGAAGGCCUUCGGGUUGUAAAGUACUUUCAGUCGGGAGGAAGGUGGUAAGGUUAAUAACCUUAUCAAUUGACGUUACCGACAGAAGAAGCACCGGCUAACUCCGUGCCAGCAGCCGCGGUAAUACGGAGGGUGCAAGCGUUAAUCGGAAUUACUGGGCGUAAAGCGCACGCAGGCGGUUGAUUGAGUCAGAUGUGAAAUCCCCGGGCUUAACCCGGGGAUUGCAUCUGAUACUGGUCAGCUAGAGUCUUGUAGAGGGGGGUAGAAUUCCAUGUGUAGCGGUGAAAUGCGUAGAGAUGUGGAGGAAUACCGGUGGCGAAGGCGGCCCCCUGAACAAAGACUGACGCUCAAGUGCGAAAGCGUGGGGAGCAAACGGG